rnacentral:rRNA from 1 species
CACGUAGGGGGCGAGCGUUGUCCGGAUUUAUUGGGCGUAAAGAGCUUGUAGGUGGUUCAGUAAGUCGAGUGUGAAACCUCCAGGCUCAACCUGGAGGCGCCACCCGAUACUGCUGUGACUAGAGUCCAGUAGGGGAGCACGGAAUUCCUGGUGUAGCGGUGAAAUGCGCAGAUAUCAGGAGGAACACCAGUGGCGAAGGCGGUGCUCUGGGCUGGAACUGACACUGAGGAGCGAAAGCGUGGGUAGCAAACAGG